GUGUUCGUGGAAAAGAGAGAUGGUUGGCAUCUCCCCUGACAGGGAUGAGACCGAGCCCUCGGGCUCUACCUGUUACCACACAUCCGGUUAAGCCUUUCCACCUCGGUGGACUUCUAACUCAAUUUUUGU